UAUAUAAAAAAGAGAUAUAACUAUCUAAUUAAUUAAAAAAAUAAAAAGAUAAAAAGACACAACAAAAUACUAGUACUACUCCUAUUACAUUUAAACAAAAUCCUAAAACCAACAAAACAAAAAAAUAAUUCUCAUUUCUCCCUCUGAGUUUCAUCUUCUAGUUUGUAGAAGUCUGUAGACAGUAGACACCCUUACUUAAUUAUAACGGCUAGUUGUCUUCAUCACAAACUAAUCAAAGUAUCUCCCAACAAUGGAGAUACAAAGUUCAAUUUUUUUUUUAAAAAUAAAAUUCCUAGAGUUUCUCUCAUUGAUUGGAUUCCCUCAGGUCUCAAUUUGACCCGAAAACUCUUCAACAAUGGCGUCGGAAAACCCUAAAUCCCCAAUUUCAACUUCAAUGCCGACAAAUCCUCGACAAUCUCGACCUAGGGUUGGUGAAAUCACUCUCUACGACGACCGAGCACCGAUUUUCGUCCUCCACAUUCGCGUUACGCUGACGAAAACAAGCAUGAUUUGCUCCGGUGUUGCCGAGAAUAUCCAGAAACGUGCAUAAUCAUUAUCUUCAAUGGAGAUAAAUGCUAACUUGAACUGAAGAUGGUUUGAACUUGUAUGAUUCUGGACAUCGAUUUGAACAUUUCCAUCUUUUGCUGGUUCUCUUAAAUCACUUCGCUAUGCUUCUACAGCAUUGUAAAGUCGAGCAUUGCAGUCAUCCAUCAUUGCAGCUGCCUUACUCAAAUGGAAGAAUGGCCUGAGUGGCUUUUGGAGGUUCUCAUUUCAAAUUAUGAGGUGUUCAUUUUCUGGGAGAUGGGAUAAAGAGAGCUUAUGAGGGUCGAGUUUCAAAGCCUCCACAAUAUGGGUUCACCCAUACAAUUCUCUCCUUGGGCUCCUGAGUAUGAAAUGCUUCCCCUCUCCUCCUCACUCCAGUAGUCCAGUUCAGAAGCAAUAUGUUUUUUUUGUUAUUCUCUGUGACAGGUUGAUCUUUUCACUUUUCACUGCCACGCCAAAAAAUAUUCCAGCUGAAAGCUUUUAUUGGCAAGAAGCCUCAUCUCAUUGAAGAUGCCAAUGACUUAUUUCGACAACUUCAGCAAACCAAAUUGAUGCCUUUAGCAGAUUCCAUAUCUUUAUAUACUACUCAAGAAAACCGGCGUUGGAAAGGGGUCUGUGUUCACUGUUGAUUGGGGACCUUGAUCAAUGUAAUGUCGGACAUGGUUGGGCCUGGACAAUGAAAAUUCACCCUAGCUUCAGAGAUCCAUCAGUAGUGGAGUUUGUUCUGGAGAACUCAGGGGAUUAUGAGGAUAAUGAUACACUCCCAGGACUUUGUAAACUGUUGGAAACCUGGCUCAUGGAGGUGGUUUCCACCAGAUUUAGGGAGACAAAAGGGGUUCAGUUCAGAGUUCAGACUUGGGGAUUAUUAUGAUGAUCCUAUUGUUCUGAAAUAUCUAGAGAGGCUAGAGGGCAAAUAGUGAGGAUUGGAGCUGGAGCUCAUGCAGUAAUCGAUAAUGUCACGACUAGUGUAAUACAGGCACUGCAGAAAGUAUUUCCUCCUAGCUCUGGAGUCUGGAGAAGAACGCAUAACACGGCAAGAAGAUGUUGCAGUUAAUGGCUUUGGAAAUGAGGAUGUUACAAUGGAGCUUGGCCGUGAUAACACUUUAGAUUAUGUGAACUGAACCCCUUUUGUGAUGGAAAUGUCUUGUUCCAAGUCCGGCUGGAAGAUCAUUGAAGGUGCUGUCCUCCAAUCUUAAGUUGCAACCAAUCUGUAAAUAUUUCUCCAUUAUCUUUUUUCCACAUUAGUUUGUUGGCCAUACUUGAUGAUGUUAUGUUAAUUUUUAUGCUAAACAACUUUGGGUCAUUAUCUUAAUUAGCUUGUUGAUGUAAUGCAAGUAGUCGGAUUCUUCGUACCAGUUGUGCCUUGCAUAAAUCCUGAAAAGUAUUUUUGGCAAAACUCUUAGCCCAAAAAACU